rnacentral:rRNA from 1 species
AGAGUUUGAUCCUGGCUCAGAAUGAACGCUGGCGGUGUGCUUAACACAUGCAAGUCGAGCGAGAAAGCCCUUUCGGGGGUGAGUACAGCGGCGGACGGGUGAGUAACGCGUGAGAAUUUACCUCUCAGUGAAGAAUACCCUCGAGAAAUCGAGGCUAAUACUGCAUACGUCCCUACGGGGAGAAAGGUGGCCUCUUUGCUGCCGCUGAAAGAUAAGCUCACGUACUAUUAGUUUGUUGGUGGGGUAAAGGCCUACCAAGACGAUGAUGGUUAGCCGGCCUGAGAGGGUGUACGGCCACACUGGAACUUAGACACGGUCCAGACUCCUACGGGAGGCAGCAGUGGGGAAUAUUGCGCAAUGGGCGAAAGCCUGACGCAGCGACACCGCGUGGGGGAUGAAGGUUCUUGGAUCGUAAACUCCUGUUAAGUGGGAAGAAAGCUCUGUAAUUAAUACGUACAGAGGAUGACGGUACCAUUANAGAAAGCACCGGCUAACUUCGUGCCAGCAGCCGCGGUAAUACGAGGGGUGCAAGCGUUAUUCGGAAUCAUUGGGCGUAAAGGGUGUGUAGACGGUAUGUUAAGUCCGCUGUUAAAUUUUUCGGCCUAACUGAAAACCUGCAGUAGAUACUGGCAAACUAGAGGAUGGAAGAGAGAAGUGGAAUUCUCGGAGUAGCGGUAAAAUGCGUA